rnacentral:tRNA from 1 species
GUGUCGUUUCGCAGGUUGAUCACCGAAAUUUUAUAAAGCGACUGCGCUCGGAGAUGCUUAUGUAUCGCUGUUUUCGGACGGGGGUUCGAAUCCCCCCGCCUCCACCA